GGACGACGCCGGCGGCGUGCUUCAUACAUGGCAAGUCGAACGAUAAGGUCUCUUCGGAGAUACAUAAGUGGCGGACGGGUGAGUAAAAUGUAGAGAAUCUGCCCUAGAGAUGGGGACAACAGUUGGAAACGACUGCUAAUACCCAAUAUGAGCGUAGUUGAAAUACUAUUCUUGAAAACUCCGGUGCUCUGGGAUGAGUCUGCAUCUGAUUAGCUAGUUGGAGGUGUAAUGGACCACCAAGGCGACGAUCAGUAGCUGGUUUGAGAGGAUGAUCAGCCACAAUGGGACUGAGACACGGCCCAUACUCCUACGGGAGGCAGCAGUAGGGAAUUUUGCGCAAUGGGGGAAACCCUGACGCAAGCAACGCCGCGUGAAUGAAGAAGCCCUUCGGGGUGUAAAGUUCUGUCAGUAGGGAAGAAUAAAUGACUGUACCUACAGAGGAAGCAUCGGCUAACUCCGUGCCAGCCGCCGC
rnacentral:rRNA from 1 species